rnacentral:rRNA from 1 species
CACACAUGCAAGUCGAGCGGACAGAUGGGAGCUUGCUCCCUGAUGUUAGCGGCGGACGGGUGAGUAACACGUGGGUAACCUGCCUGUAAGACUGGGAUAACUCCGGGAAACCGGGGCUAAUACCGGAUGGUUGUUUGAACCGCAUGGUUCAGACAUAAAAGGUGGCUUCGGCUACCACUUACAGAUGGACCCGCGGCGCAUUAGCUAGUUGGUGAGGUAACGGCUCACCAAGGCGACGAUGCGUAGCCGACCUGAGAGGGUGAUCGGCCACACUGGGACUGAGACACGGCCCAGACUCCUACGGGAGGCAGCAGUAGGGAAUCUUCCGCAAUGGACGAAAGUCUGACGGAGCAACGCCGCGUGAGUGAUGAAGGUUUUCGGAUCGUAAAGCUCUGUUGUUAGGGGAAGAACAAGUGCCCGUUCAAAUAGGGGCGGCACCUUUGACGGUACCUAACCAAAAAGCCACGGCUAACUACGUGCCAGCAGCCGCGGUAAUACGUAGGUGGCAAGCGUUGUCCGGAAUUAUUGGGCGUAAAGGGC